rnacentral:lncRNA from 1 species
AAGUUCUCUUGAUUUAUUUCUGGAAAGAGCCAAGAAGAUAGUGAAUAGUUUCCUAAAUCCAGGUUUGGAAACAGCAGGGUAUAAUUAAGAAUAUAAUGUGGAUAGAUAUUCCUAAAGUCACCUCUAACUGAUGCAUCCUUACAUGGAUCUUGUACCUGGCAUCCAAAGUAUUGCCUAAUGUCACUUGCAAAGUGUAUAGGAUCUAUUUUCAAAACAUUCAAAAUAUUACUGAAUAGAUGGAAAUAAUCACCUGCAGAAAAAUAAUAGCAAAGAAACCCAGCUUGACAUCUUUGGUUGUCUUUGUUUUUAUCUUUCUCUGUACUCAAGAUCAAGUGUGUUCAGCAUAAACUGACCAUGAUCAAAAGAAGUGUCCCAAAAAUCAGUCAUGGUAAACACAGCUCACUACACACCAUAAAUCUAAAAGCUGAAUACAGCAUAGAAACAAUCAAUUUUAAGUUGAAUGAAGAAAAAGAGAUGGAAGCAAGUGGCAUUUUCAAAGAAUGGAAAAACUAAGGAGAAUCUGACUACAGGCACCCACUAGUAAAGCCCCAGGAUCUCAUGAUUCCUGUAUGAAGUUCAAACUUAAAAAGGUUUGUUUUGGGAGACAAAGAGAAGUAUGAACUAUUAAUAUUAAUACACUGUAAAAUCUGCUGUAGUUGAAGUAUAAAUAAAUGUUAUGUGAAUAUCCA